UGACAUGUUCACAGGUGACAAUUUCAAGCUAUAACUUGCUGCCAUUUCCGUGCUUCGUAUCAUCAUUAUUAAAUGUUACUGCUGCCAAGCCAGUGAAUGAUUCACAUAAGUCCCAUUUUGACAGGGGAAGCAAGAUGAAAUAGUGCGGCACAAAAGCCAAGCUCGGGUUUAUGGUGGGAUGCUACAGAGCUGAAUGGACGAGUGAAAGCCUAAUAGACAACGAUUCAAUUGGGAAUUUCAUGUUUGGGAAAUAAAAGAUGAUCCAGAAAUCGAGAGACGAGCCGGUGAAUUGAGUUGUUCACUUUUACCACGCACCGUGAGCAGCAUCGUCAGCAGCGUGUUCAUGUUCAGCAGUGUGUCCUAGACAUUGCCAGGCAAAAAGUGUGGAUUUAAUCCGAAAUCCAAGUCAUAAAACGGGAUUUCACAUUUCGCAAAACAAUAAAUAUGUUCUCGCCUCCCAUUUUCCUGGUCCCUUCAUCAAAUGUGCCAGCAUAUCGUAGGGAGCUAAGCAAACUCUGGAGCACUGUAGAAAGCAGGGACAGAAAGCAAAAUCAGUGUCAUCAUCAAGAGUAUAGGUAACAUUUAGUAGUCUGAGUAGAUGCGUGCUUUCUGCCAAAAAACCCCCCUUCGAGAAUAUAAUGCUGCGGCAUAGAAAUUUUGUGAGCUUGACUCAAAUCAGUGAGUUGUGUUUUGGCGAGGAGGGUGUGUGUGCUUGCAUGUGCGGGAAAAGUGUGAAACCUUUAUUGAAUAUUCAUUGUGUUCAAUGUCUUGAAAGAUAUGAUGAGUUAUGUCAUGUGUCUGUUCGGGAGAUAUCUCGGGGCAAAUCUGAAUAUUUCAAGCUUGACUGGGACCCUGGUUGGUGUCACACUUUGAAACAACACCGCAACACCUCAGGGAUUACAUAUGCGUUCACGCCUGCUUGUAAUAUGCACCAUGUACGGUGUCACAUCUUUUGCUUUGAUUUCUUUCAUUUUUAUAAUGCGACAAUUCACACUUGGUUUCGUUUCCUCGUUAAAAUUAAUAUAUGGAAACUUUUGCAAUCUUUUAUGUAUGUACACACAUACAUAUUUUAUUUACAUGUUAUCAAACAGUGGUGUGUACAUAUACCUAGGUUGCGACGUUGUGCUAUAUAUCUAUCUACAUACGUAGUGCAAAUGAGAACAAUGAGAAACUGAUACAAAAACCAUCAAAGGAUGUACGUCAUCAGGAAACACCAGUCAGACAACCUUCGACGUGUUAUGUCUAUGAUUUAGUGGUUCAAUAAAAAUUCCUCAUUUCUGUCUUUUUGCGAAGUUAGUCACUAAUGAAUGAUAAAGGUGGCAGAAGAGCGGUGAUGAUUCUGGUUGGCUACUGAUCUGUCGAAUGUGUCAGCAGAGGAAAAUCAAUUAAAUGGAUUCCUCGCCCAAUAAUAAUUGCUCUACCCAAGGCCCAUCAACAUUAACUCAUGAAACCAAAUAGUUUUGGUCAAUAUGGUCAUAACUGCCACGUUAUCAUAUGUGCAUGACCAGUAUUUGAAAAGUCCGAAGUGGAAAUUGAAUUACUUUCACUGGUGAAAGUCGAGAAGACCAUCCGUAUAAUUUAAAUUAGCUUUUGAGCUGCGAUAAAUGUCCCGUAAAAUGAUCACAGAGACAAUCAUACGAAAGGUUGAAAUCGAGUGGGUGAUUGUGCCCGAACCCGACGUUAGUCCGUAGCGUCCUGAGACGUAAAGCGAUUUUAGUACACAUGAAACCUCCUCACAUCACACAGACAGACGCCCACGCACUGUUAAAUAUUGAAACGCUGGCGUACCCGUUGAUGUGAAACACUUGUUUGGU